UAAUGUAUUGAAAAUUUUCUUUUUUUGAGAAGGUUUUAGUUUAUGUUUUAGCUGAAGAGACAUGACUGUUGUCUUGUAAAGCACAAAGUGACAUGAAGUUGUGUUGAUAGAGGAAGAAGAAGCCUGCUUAUUAUACCUGGGUUUUACAUUGGCCAAGCUAUGGCACAAAGAUGACACAGACUUUAUUCACAAAAGGAAUUGUGUUCUUGAGAAGGAGUUGGAAAAACUUGUGUUUUAAUGAAAGAAAGUUUGCUAGAAUCUUAGUUUUUCUUUGUGUUUGAACUACAAUUUUGUAGUCACAACAAAAGUGUUGGAACUGUUAUAGUGUGUUUUAAAAAAAACUUACUUUAAAGCAGGAUGUGAAAGUUGGAGUGGAAGUUGUUGGGAAUCAUUUAAAAGAUGUGUAUUAAUCAUCAUUGUUGUGUGCAUAGUAAUUAUGGAAAACAUAUUGUUUUUGUUCAUUGUGUGUAUUAAAAUGUGUUGACCACUGCAUUAUACCUGACCAGGCAAGAUCUAGUGGAAAUUCCAUCAAAAAAUUCAGAUGUUUUAUAUAUAAAAAAAUUAAUUGUGCAUGGACGUAGUGUUAAUAAUAAGAGAUAACAUGUGUAAUUUUAGGGUAGAUUAAUUGAUUGUUUUAAUUUCAUGAAACUGUUACACUUUCAAGUUCUACUUGUGAAUGAGGAAACGUUGAUUUUAGAAAAAAGGAAAUAUUCUUGAUGUGCCAUGAUGAGUUUUAACUUAAAGGGGGGACAAGUGUUACUUUUAGUGGGGAUUUUUCAAUGGUGUAAUGCUGUGAGUCAUAAUUGAAGACAUGUAUUUAGAUACUAGCUUACCCUCUGUACUUUAUUCUAAGAGCUUUAUUCAAUUUUGUAUCAUGUGCUGCUGUAUAGCAAUUCAUUGGAAUGAAUAAGUAGAAAAACUAACAAAAUAAACCCUCUUGAAAUAGU